ACCCUGCCAUACUAUCCCCUUUACCUUGGGAAAUGGAAAUACAAGCUCCAAUUAAUUUCUCGUUUCACUUUAUUUGUGACCUUAUUCUUAAAUUUUGGAGAAGACCUUGUCAAUACUAGCCUUAUCAAACUCCCAAUACCAUGUUUCUGCUCCUAGGUUUCUGGCGGUUUUGGUUGCUAUCCUUUUCAAACCAGGACAUUUGUGAUACUUAAUGUAAAAAAAUGAAGGUAUUGUUCCUGUAUUUUGGAAGGUUUUCUUUGGCUCAUUUCUCGCUGUGCCAGUAAGCUAACCCAGCUAAAGCCAUCAUUACUGCCACCAUAAAUAUGGACAUGAUUAUGUCACCCAUUAUUUAUUUAUUUUGGUGAAAAACAGUGUUUUGGUCAACCUUUGUGUCACUAUAACUAAAAGCUCUGACAAAAACAGCUUAAAGGAGGAAGAUUAUAUUUUGGCUCAUCUUUUCAGAGAUCUCAGUCCGGUUUGGCUAACUCCAUAGCUCUGGACUUGACGGGAGGCAGACAUCUUGUGGGAAAGACAUGGCAGUGGAAAGAAACUCAGGACAUGGUACCAGGAAGCAGAGCGAGCUCUGUUCACCAAGGACAAAGUAAAAAUCCUGAGUCACACCAUUGGUGAACUUCCUCCUCCAGUCACCCCCGCACCUGCCUAUGGUUAAUACCUAGUCAAUCCGUAUCAGUGAAAUUAAUCCACUGAUUAGGUGAUAACUUUCACAAUCUAAUUACUUCACCUCUGAAUAUUCCUUCAUUGUCUUACAUGAGCUUUGGGGGAACACCCCAUGUCUAAACCACAACAAACAAACAUCUGGAUAAAUAUGUGACUGUAUUUGUCAAGGCACAAUGUAUUGGCAGAGAAAAGUCAAUAG
rnacentral:lncRNA from 1 species